UAUGGAGGCAUGAGAAGGGCAGAUGCCCAAGGGAAACUGAAACUGAAGAAAAUAACCUUCAAGUAAACAGUAUGCAUACAUUCACACUUGUCUGUUCCACCAUCACAACGACUACUUCUUCCAGCACCUGAUGUCCUUCUUACCAUCAGACGUAAAAUGCAUCGGGAUUCCCCUCUUGCCUCACCGUUGACUCUCACAGGUUUAUUCCACAUGGGAUACUAAAGGCCUGUUGACUUCCCAAACAACCCAUGCUUCACUUGCAGCAAGUGUAAUGACGUACUGCAUGGAAAAUAUCUACAUGUGCAUGGGCACACAAACAAAACACUUCAUAUAUAUCCAUGGAAGAAAGGAAGAAA